rnacentral:lncRNA from 1 species
GUCCUGGGCCCAGACUUCCAGCCCCGAGCAAGGACUUCAAGUCUUGGUCAACUGCCAUGACAGGGCCUCAGCAUGGCAGCUCUCACUGCAAAAGCUGGCAGGCCUUCAGAAGAAGCUGAAGGUUCCUCUGCCAUUUCCAGUGUAAUUCUCUGAAGCCCGGGCCCAUCCAGUUUAACUGAGUAGCUCCCCUUCUCAUACUCCUCCCACUGUGAUGAGAGGCAGAAUGAGGCUCGCUAUAACACAUUGUGAAACAGGUAAGAGGAGGCAGAACCGAGGGUACAAAUUCAUUUUUCUUGUUGCCAUAUUUCCUUGCUCGUUAUAGUUUCUUUGCACCCUAGAGCUCUUGUCAGCGACCCAUUUUGUGAAUGGAGACAUUUCUGCUUUGAAGUCAUAAUUUAUCCUGCAAGAGCUGCUAAAAGAAGCACUUUUAAACUCAGAUCUGAGCGAAGGCUGGGAAUUGGUUGUUGCAAGUAGAAAAUGAGUCACAGAUGUACAAAGACAUUAGAAGGCUGCCUGCAACAUAGAAGCAAAAUGCUCCAGGAGGCUGACCUGAAUGACAUACAUCAGUGAACUCCUUUGGCCUCUGUCAGACCCACCAAAUCAGAAAAUCUUACACUCCUACAAGAAAUUCAUGGUAAGAUGAAAGAGCCACAUCUGGGGCUGGGCACCUGCAGGCACAGACCCAUUCACCUGCCACUUUUGCAGUAGUGUCUUUCCCUCAGCUCACACCCACAUCUCCGUGGGGGCAGGAGCCCCUAGGAUCGGCUGAUGAAGGAGGUAAAAGGCCAAACUUGGUUUACAGAGGGGUUGGCUCUUUAUAUGGGUAUAAGCAGUAUAGGGCCUGCUUACUACAGCUCUGUUCAGGGGUGGUCUGAAAGAAAGACUGAAGAGAAAUUCUUCUAACAAGCAGAGAUCUGGGAAGUGUACAUGUUUAUCCACUUCGUGUGCAAAGAGAAGUGGUGUACAGUAAGAACACAUGUGGGCUCAUUGUCAGUAAAAAAAAAAUGGCUUGUCCAGUUAACCAGAGCCAGGAAGGAGAAAGUUUGGAGGAUUAGGGUUGAAGAGACCUAGGGAAGAAGUGCGUGAAAGCCUCUUUGAGAGAGAUAAUGUGUGACAAGGUUUGUAUCAAAUAUUAAUGCUCAACAGAGAGUAUCUUCCAGGGAAAAGGCACUACAACCCAGUAGGCAAAAGGACCCAGCCAGUUGACAUCAGUCAUUGGUCACUCUGAUGCUAACAAAUGGACCUCACACCAUGGCAGCAGAGAUGGAAGCUAUGCAUAGAUCCAACAGCAUGGGCGCCCUCUUACUAAGACUGAUCUGCCACCCUGUAUGUCCAGCCUUGUAGGAACAUAGACCAAUACUGAGCCACUGAUUCAGCACAUCCUCUGUGGAGACCAACCAGCCACUUGGUGGCAAGAGAUUACAUUGGAACCCUCUCAUCUCAGAAGGAGCAGUGCUUCGUGUUGACUGAAUCAACAUGUGCACCAGAUACAAGACUCCCUUUUCUGCCUGGAAUAAUCUGCCAGUAUGACUCUCAAAAGGCUUAACUCACGGACAUAGGAUCCCAUGUAGCACUGCAUUGGAUUGAGAGAUAGAGAACUCAGUUAAAAACAAGGAGGUGUGGCAGUGGGCCCUUGACUAUGGUAUCCCCUGGCCUUAUCACAUCCUAUGUCACUCAGAAGUUGAGAUCUGAAAGAGUGAAAAAAAAGCUGCUUACUAGCCACUGAGGACCCAGCUUGGAGAUGAUAAGCUGUGAAGAUGGGCGCUGUUCUCCAGACAUAAUAUAUAUGUCCUAAAUCAACAACCUUUCCCUAGAGCUGUGUCCCCAGUAGAUAGCAAGUGCGAGUCUGGAAAUCAAAGAGUAGAAAUAGGCAUAGCUCGGCUUAUAUCACUUCAAGUGACCAAUGUAGGGAAUUUAUGCUUCUUACUACACUCCCAGGCUUUUGUGGUUUAGAAGUCCUAGUUUCUAAAGGGAGAACAUUUCCACCAGGAAACUCAGCAGGAGACCCAUUAAGCUUUAAGCUAUGCUUACUGAAUGUCGCUCAUGCCAAAGCCUAUCAGAAAAGGGAAAUAGCCUUCAUCCCAGCAGGAGUAAUGGGCCCUGAUGAUCAGGAGGAGGUGGGGCUGCUGUUACUCCCUGGGAUUCUCUUGGAACCCUCUUGCCUAAUUUCAACAAAAAAUGGACAAAUGCAGUGGUCAUGGCCUGAGAAAGGCUCAGAUCUUACUGUUGAAGGUGGAGGUGUCCCCAACAGAUGUUACAUUUAAGAAAACUUCUUGAAUGUACAUGACAAAGAAUGAACAAGCAUAUUUAUUGCAACAUUGUUUAUAAUAGCAAUAAAGGUAAGCAACUUAAUAGGGGACUAAAUAAAUUGUGGUAUAUUUUUACAAUGACAGAGUAUACAGUAGUAAAAACAGUGAGGUGGAGCCCUAAGUGCUAACUUGGAAAAAGCUUCAGGAAAUAUCACUGAGUGAAAAAGGAGAUUGCAGAAUGAUAAAUGUAAUGUGAUGCAUUUUAUCAGGGCUAUUUAGGAAAAUUAUGGCCUAAUAGAAAUGACCUGGGCUGAGUGAGAGGAGCAGAAAUGGGGAGAGUGAUUAUUGCCCCUCGCUUGCUUUGCCUCCUUUAGCCAUUUCUUCCUGUUCUCUCAAUCAUUCUUUCCCCUCUUUCACUCCACAUUCUUUCCUUUCUUCAUCACUUCUUUUCAUAGUUAAAAUUGAAGCCAAGUCUACCCUCUAGGAAUUGUAUGUGUUUGUGCUCAUUAACAACCAGUUGAACUCUGUUGAUUAGCAAUAUGGUCAAUCCAAACUGGUUGUUAAAGUGUCAAAAUAAAUGGAUCCAAUACCUGCACCCGGGCUCACAUGAUCUCGUUGAUGAAUAAUUAAUAUAGCCUCAAUAUGAUGCAUUAUAUGGAAACCUGCCUGCUUUGGCUACUGUGAAAGCUUAAAAAUAAACCAACCACUUGACAAAGUUACAAAAAAAUAUAUAAAAAAGAAAUUUGCAGUAUGGGUUGAAUGAAUAAUAAAUAUAUAGUGUUUGCAUUAAAGAAAGUACCAGUGGCAUUGUACUUUGUGUUAUUAUUAGAGUGUGUAGAUUAUUUGAUUUGAAGAAU